rnacentral:rRNA from 1 species
AUUGAACGCUGGCGGCAGGCCUAACACAUGCAAGUCGAGCGGAUGAAGGGAGCUUGCUCCUGGAUUCAGCGGCGGACGGGUGAGUAAUGCCUAGGAAUCUGCCUGGUUGUGGGGGAUAAUGUCCGGAAACGGGCGCUAAUACUGCAUACGUCCUGCGGGAGCAAGUGGGGGAUCUUUGGACCUCACGCUAUCAGAUGAGCCUAGGUCGGAUUGGUUAGUUGGUGGGGUAAAGGCCUACCAAGGCGAGUAUCCGUAAAUGGUCUGAGAGGAUGAUCAGGCACACUGGAACGUGGACACGGUCCAUAGUCCUACGGGAGGCAGCAGUGGGGAAUAUUGGGCAAUGGGCGGAAGCCUGAUCCAGCCGUGCCGCGUGUGUGAAGAAGGUCUUCGGAUUGUAAAGCACUUUAAGUUGGGGGAAAGGGCAGUAAGUUAAUACCUUGCUGGUUUGACGUUACCAACAGAAUAAGCACCGGCUAACUUCGUG